AUUGGAUUGGAUUUUACACUGUAAAAUUGUCCUGGCAAUGCAAUUGAGCGGUUUGAUGACAAGUAGAUAAAUAUAGGAAGAUGUGGUAUGAGUUACAAUGGUAAAACUCUCCAUCCAAGUCACAGUUUAUAAAAGUAAACCAUUCUAGGUCAAAGCACGGCCUUCGACACGGAGCCUUCGCUCGCACCGAACAGCAAGAUAUAAAGGGCCCCCAAAAAACUUUACUAGUGUAAACCAUUCAAACAGGAAAACCAACAGUCUAAUCUAAAUAUAAAAACAAGAAUCGAAAACACUUACAAGCCACAUCAACAAACGACAAUCACUGAACAUCGGGUUCCUGAUUUAGGACAGAUGCAAACAAAUGCAGCGGGUUUUAGGUGGUAUUGGUGUCUUUUGCCAUCUUAGAUCGUAAAUAACAG
rnacentral:lncRNA from 1 species